rnacentral:rRNA from 1 species
UGGGGAAUUUUGGACAAUGGGCGAAAGCCUGAUCCAGCAAUGCCGCGUGUGUGAAGAAGGCCUUCGGGUUGUAAAGCACUUUUGUCCGGAAAGAAAUCCUUGGCUCUAAUACAGUCGGGGGAUGACGGUACCGGAAGAAUAAGCACCGGCUAACUACGUGCCAGCAGCCGCGGUAAUACGUAGGGUGCAAGCGUUAAUCGGAAUUACUGGGCGUAAAGCGUGCGCAGGCGGUUUGCUAAGACCGAUGUGAAAUCCCCGGGCUCAACCUGGGAACUGCAUUGGUGACUGGCAGGCUAGAGUAUGGCAGAGGGGGGUAGAAUUCCACGUGUAGCAGUGAAAUGCGUAGAGAUGUGGAGGAAUACCGAUGGCGAAGGCGGCCCCCUGGGCCAAUACUGACGCUCAUGCACGAAAGCGUGGGGAGCAAACAGGAUUAGAUACCCUGGUAGUCCACGCCCUAAACGAUGUCAACUAGUUGUUGGGGACUUCAUUUCCUUAGUAACGUAGCUAACGCGUGAAGUUGACCGCCUGGGGAGUACGGUCGCAAGAUUAAAACUUAAAUGAAUUGACGGGGU